rnacentral:rRNA from 1 species
CAACCUGAGCUCAGUCGUGAUUACCCGC